rnacentral:lncRNA from 10 species
UGCCUAAUAAGAACUACUGCAAGCGCCUGUUAAUCUGCCCCCAGAUAUUCUCUUUGCUUUCAGAAAAGUUAAGAACUGUCAGCACAGACCUCAACAGUAGCCACCUAGAGGCUUGUACUGCACCAUUCACCAGGAGACAACAAUCAAUUUGUGCCCCAAUUGCCUAAAGUGGUAACCUGCUCACUGACACACACCCCUGCAUUUGUUUUCUUUCAUUUUCUCAUUUCUCUCACUCCCUUACCUGGGCUCACAACCUAAAGGAACCUCUUGAAUUAAAUUUUUGUCCUGGGUCAGGUUUGGGGGAACGCAACCUAAGACUGUGGGCAUUCAUGUGUUGAAUAUUUAUAUCUUGUACUAGAUUCUGACCUGCAAGGUCUUUUUUUUUUUUUUUUUUUUUUUUUUUUUUUUUUUUUUUUAAGAAGUCUCUCUCUGUUGCCCAAGGUGGAGUACAGUGGUGUGAUCUCGGUUCACUGCAACCUCCACCUCCCGGGUUCAAGCGAUUCUCCUGACUCUGCCUCUUGAGAAGCUGGGACUACAUGUAUGCAUCACCAUGCACAGCUAACUUUUUUAUUUUUUGUAGAGACGGGGUUUCACUAUGUUGGCCAGGCUGGUCUUGAACUUCUGACCUCGUGAUCCACCCACCUCGGCCUCCCACAGUGCUGAGAUUACAGGCGUAAGCCACUGCACCUGACCCCCAUAUCUUAUUAUCUCUACAUUAAUCAUGCUACCUGGAACAUUCGUGUUCAAUAAAUUUUGGUUGAAUACUGUUGGUAUGUUUUUCAUGGAACUUUUAGUUCUAUAAUUUCUUUUAAAGAAGUUUUGGAAAUCGUGUAUUAUUUGUAUAAUUCUUUUCCCACCCCACAUCCCCAAAGCUAAUAUUAUAUAACUGGGCAUGGAACUAAUGAGUUAAAAAUAUAUGUUACUAAAAUGUCAAAAGGUCCCAAUAAGAAAAAUUAUCUGCUUCCCUGUACGCAGGCAAAUCUUUUAUACUUUUAUAAUUGCAAAUGUCAAAUUUUUCAGCCUAAUAUAUGUCCGUUUUCCCCAGAGCAGAGGCUGUCUUUCAUUUUUUUAAAACAAAUUAGGCAACGUUAUAGUCAUAGUAAAAAUAGACCUACAUUAAAGUGAUU